AGAGUUUGAUCCUGGCUCAGAACGAACGCUGGCGGCACGCCUAACACAUGCAAGUCGAGCGCUACCUUCGGGUGGAGCGGCGGACGGGUUAGUAACGCGUGGGAACAUACCCUUCUCUAAGGAAUAGCCACUGGAAACGGUGAGUAAUACCUUAUACGCCCUUCGGGGGAAAGAUUUAUCGGUGAAGGAUUGGCCCGCGUUAGAUUAGAUAGUUGGUGGGGUAAUGGCCUACCAAGUCUACGAUCUAUAGCUGGUUUGAGAGGAUGAUCAGCAACACUGGGACUGAGACACGGCCCAGACUCCUACGGGAGGCAGCAGUGGGGAAUCUUAGACAAUGGGGGAAACCCUGAUCUAGCGAUGCCGCGUGUGUGACGAAGGCCUUAGGGUCGUAAAGCACUUUCGCCAGAGAUGAUAAUGACAGUAUCUGGUAAAGAAACCCCGGCUAACUCCGUGCCAGCAGCCGCGGUAAUAAGGGCGA
rnacentral:rRNA from 1 species